AUCCUUUAUAACAUCAAAAGCAUCACGCUUUUCUAUUUGUCAUAUACUUUGCUACGAAUACUUGUUACUGAAAAUAGAAAUAGAAACAGAAGACAUGUGAGAGUUCAGUGAUAUUGGUUGGUUCAGUUUUGGAUCGAUCGAGCUCGAGCCAAAUGUUUGAACGUCUAUUUCGAGUGAUCCCCAAUCCGGUCCUACCCAGUCAUUUCAAAAUUGCAAUUACACUACUUGUCAAACUCGUUAAACUAUCUAUAUAUCUAUGAGAUAAGAUUGUUGACUCAUGCGUAUGACCAAAUCAAAGAAAAAGAUGGUGUAUAUAUAUAUAUAUAUAUAUAUAGAGCAGGGCUGCUGUGCUCUCAGGAGCACGGAGGCCUUCGUGCUCUUGAGCCGUUUUCGAUGAUUGAAUUUUCAAAUCAACGAUCGGCUCCGUUAGACUUGAUCUAGCGCAUUUGAAGUUUCUAGAAAAUAAUUUUUGCUAUUUUUUGAUAUCAUUUACCUAGUGAUCGAAAGGAUUCAAAAUUCAUAAUUUUUAAUGGUUGAUAUCUGCCGUUUUCAAAGUUCAACGAUGUAGAAGGUAGUUCAAAUCAGAUGAAAUUGAUCACAAAAAGCUUUAUACUAAUUAUAACAAUGAUCAAGUAUUUCGUGAUCGACCCGAAGCAUCUUUAAGUGCAUGAUAGCGUCCCACUCUGUUUAUAAGAAAUUUUUACUUUCUCGCAACUCGUUAGACAUUAGGAUUUUCGAAUCUCUUUUGAUUUGCUAAAAGACAUAAAUACCUAUCCGGAGAAAUUACAAAAAUUAUUUUCUAAAAAAACUUCAAAUACGCCUUUAUCAAGUUUAACAGUAGCCAGACGUGUGAUUGCGUCGGGAAAACUCCAUCAAUUGCGGAAACGGCGCUCAAGAGCACGGAGGCCCCUGCUCGCUGGAGAGCACAGCAACCCUGGCCUCUACUAUACCACUAGUAUAGGAGAUAAUAAAUAGGUUAUAUAUAUAUAUAUAUAUAUUGAGUUGAGCUAUGAUACUUUUACAAGUAUCACCAUCAUGGUGCUAUUAGGUUUUAAGCCAUUGGAUCUACUUUUUGAUUAUUAAUAGCCCUUGGAUUAAACACUAUUCCACCUACCACCGCCUACCACUAUCAUUUCAACCUCACAUCUCUCCAUCCAAAAGCUAAAAACACACAAGUAUCAUUCCCAUGAUACUUUUACAAGUAUUCUAGCCCUACUCAUAUAUAUUAUAGGGCACAUUCAUUAUUUUGGCGGCUCCACGGCUAUGUAAGAGGUAAAUUAUGUAGUAAACUCUUUGACCCAUGCAACUCUUAAAGAGUCAAUUUGCUCGUGUGUUUCUCUCUCUAGAGUGUUAGAGAGAGAAGAGAGAGGGUGUUGUUGUUUUGUAGUGUGAUUAUGUUGUGAACUCAUUUGCUUUAAAAUAAUAAAGAACCAAAUAAAUUAGAUUUCAUUUAGUUAUCGGAUAUGUUCUUUUGUCUCUGUUUUAGACUCAAUUUCGAUUGAUUGAAUACACGAUACAUCUAUAUAGUUUAUGCUGUAACCGAAAAAAAACACUCUUUUAUUCAGAAAAAGAAAAUCCUUGUAAGCUAAUCAGACAAGAACAUUUGCCUUUAAUAUAACUUAUGAAGUUUUUUAUAUCCAAAAAGAGAAAAUUAUAGCCAUUCUUAGAAGCCAUCUAUUGCAUAGAACUUGAGGUAACAAAAAAGGGAUAGAUAUAAACAAUGGUAAGCAUGAACUUAAUUUGUUUUUCUUUAUGUCAAAAUAAUUAAAGACAUGCUAUAAAAUUAUUACCAAGUAUAUUAACAGUAAAUUGUUUACUCAUUAUUCUAGAAUUGAGCUAGAAUAUUUUUAGAAGAAUCACCCUCUUGGUGCUAUUAGGUUUUUAGCCCUUGGAUCUACUAUUUGAUUACUAAUAGCCAUUGGAUCAAAUACUAUUCCACCUACCACCAUCAUCUCAACCCUACAGCUCUCCAUUCAAUGGUUAAAAAUUUAAAAAUACCACUCCCUUGGUGCUUUUGAGAGUAUUCUUAUUCUAUUCCCAACUGCAGAAAGAGCUUAAUAAAAGAGCUAUCUCCUCCUUGCUGUAUGCUUUCAGAAAAGCCACUGUAAUGCAUUAAUUAGCUGCUCUGACAAAUGCAAGUUUCAAAAGAAAUAAAGCAAAAGAAAAGUGGGGAAAAGAUGACAGGAAAUAGCUUGCAUGGUUUCUUAACUUGGAUUGUUUUCUUUUCUUUUCUUCUUUUUUCUUUCCCCCCCCCCCCCCCCCCCCCUGUUCCUGGAAAGCUCACUUUAAUGCUUUUAUAUAUCAUUUAUCAUGUACUCCACUAAUUCUCUAUUUAGCUAAGCUAAGUUUGGCUUUCUCAAAUGUGGACAAAACAAAAGGAAUAUGAGCAUACAUAUUCCAACUUCCCAGCAGGUGAAGUUUUUUGUUGUAUAAUGUAAUACUUUUACUUGGGGUGGAAAAUGUGUGUUCAUGGAAAUCACAGUUGCUUUGCUUGUGAUGCACUGUCCCUGAACAACUGGAGUACUAACUUGCACCUUUUUUUGGCAGGUUUAAUUUCAAGGACAAUGAAAGUUGUGGUGGUACAGAGAGAGGGAGAGAGAGAGAGAAGCAGGGAAAAUUUUUUCUGAACCAGGUUCACCAUGUCAGAAAAGAAUCAAUUAACCCAUUAUUGCCAACCCUGCACCCCUUAAAACAUAAAUUUAAUGCAUUGGAUGUGAUUGUUAAUAUCGGAGUGGUCCACGUAUGAGAAGUUAUAAAUUUUCAAUAUUUAUUACAGAAACAUCAAUUAAUAAGGUUUGGUCGGCUCUUUUGCCAUUGCUUUCAAUCUGCUUUCAACAGUAAUUAGUUUAGCGGAGCAUCUGGUCACAUAAAAAUUUAGAGUUUAAAAACAGACAUUUCAAUUGAAUCUUCUGAUAUUUUAAUACAUUACACCCUACUAGGUGCGUAUAGAUUCUUGUUUGAAAAUUUAAUGAUUAAAACAGUUUUAUAUUGCAAUCUAACAGUUUAAAUUUUUAUUUUUAAGCAGGUAUAUAUACGUGGUGGACAGGGUCCGGGCAACAGUUCCUCGAAUACGUGAGGUAUGAUUGUGCAUCAAAAUGAAAUGAUCACAUAGGAGGGGGGAAGGUACAAAGUUUUGAUCAUAUCUGGGUGAAUGCACUGAUACCCCUUUGCAAAUAAUUUUGAUCAUUUAUGUGUGGUUUAAAUGCUCGAAUCUUGUACCCAUCACACCACGUAGAUCUGAUCAGUGUGUGUUCACUCACUGUCCUUCUAACUCAGACCCAUGAGCCCCACAACCUGGCAGACAGUAAGCUCUCGUGAUCCAUGCGAAUUAAUAUUUUAAAAAUCAGGUCGAAUAACGAAACAGUGGAUCAAUCACUGAUGAGUGAAUCAGUGGCAUCAGUCUAACAUUAUUAAUGUUUAAUCAUUUAUUAUUUUUAAAUUAAUUAUAUAAUUAUAUGUAUAUAUUAUUUUAGGAUAUGGACUGAAAUACUAUCAAUAGUACCAAGUUAUUAGUGUUAUUAGGUUUUUGAUCUUUGGAUGAAAAAAUAUAUGAUUAGCAUGAUGUGGGCUCUAUAGGGUUGAAUGAGUUAUUUAUUUAUUAGUGUAAUCUAAUGAAUGAAAAUAGUUAAAAGAUUAAAUCUAACGGCGGAAAACUUAGUCAUGGGAUUAAAUCUAACGGCGGAAAAUUUGAUAGCACCAAACGGUUGGUGCUAUUGAUAGUAUCCCAGCCGGACUAAUAUAGAGUAGGGUUGCUGUGCUCUCAGGAGCACGGAGGCCUCCGUGCUCCUAAGUCAUUUUUGAUGAUAGAAUUUUCAAAUUGACGAUCGGCUCUGUUAGACUUGAUCUAACGUAUUUGAAGUUUCUAGAAAAUAAUUUUUGCGCUUUUUUUAUAUCAUUUACCUAGCAAUCGAAAGGAUUCAAAAUCAAUAAUUUUUAACGGUUGAAAAUAAAAAUUCUAUAAAAAGUGGUGAUAUAGCACUAAAAUUUUCGAUCAGAAAUAUUGAUCUUGUUGUAGAUAGUAUAAAGAAUUUUGUAUCAAAAUUUCAUCUGAUUUGAAUACUUCUAUACCGUUAAACUUGAAAACGGCAAAUAUCAACCAUUAAAAAUUAUUGAUUUUGAA
rnacentral:lncRNA from 1 species